UGUUUUGUUUUUAUACCUUUGGGAUCGCACGACUGCAUGCUUGCAAGGCAGGCGUUUAUGCGCCGCUGAGCUAAAUCCCUGGCCUACAGAGUUAAGAUUUAUAGAGCAAAAUGGUGAAAUGAGUAUGGUUUGAAACACAACUAUAAUCAACCAAUAAGGAUUUAUUUAUUUACUUUUGUCUUUUUCAUUUUUAUCGGUACCAGGGAUUGAACUCAGGACUGCCUGCUUGCAAGGCAGGCGCUUAUGCCGUUGAGCUAAAUCCCCAGCCCCAACCAAUAAGGAUUACAAAUUUCGCCGCUUAGGUAGAACAGGUCCAGUGAGAAGUUGAUUCAAGUAGCAGGUGUACGUGGAAAGAACAGCGACCUUGAGGCUGGGGGUUUAGCUCAGCGGCAUAAGUGCCCGCCUUGCAAGGAGGCAGUCGUGAGUUUGAUCCCCAGUACAAAUAAAAAGGAAAGAUAUUUAAAAAAAAAAUCACCUUUCUAGGAUGGAAUGAAUCGGGUUCCAGCUACCCACCUGGGCAACUGAUGUUAGUGUUACUCUAUUAUUUAUCUCUUGGAGAGGCACAUAAGGCUGGUCAUUUUGUUUUAGGCUUGUCCUCUAACAGAUGCACCUCCAGCCACGGUUGUAAUGUGUUUUUAUUCUCUGUAUUGAUGCUCUCAAGGGCCCAUCUACCUCAGUCUGACUGCCUAUAAUAUUUCUGCCUAACUUAACGGUCUAUAAUAUUUCCCCUCCUAAGAGGUAUGCCUGCCAUGAGGGGGCGAGGGCCAAUGAACACUUUUUUUUUUUUUUUUUUUGUCUUUUUGACAUAAGGUCUCACUAUGCAGUUCAGACUGGCCUUGAGCUCACUUUAUAGCCCAGGCUGGUCUUGAGCUCACAAUGAUCAGCCUGUCUCAGGCUCUUAAGGGCAGGGAUUACAGGCAUGCACCACCACGCCCAGAUUCUUGAUGAACAUUUUGACUGAAGGGAGCUGUAGUUAUAAUUAACAGUCAGAGAUAUUCCAUAAAAGGUUAUCUGAAUGUUCUCAAUAGAAAGCCAAGGAUUUAGCUCAGCAGUUCAACUCCUGCCUGGCAAGCAUGGGGUCCUGAGUUUGAUUCUCAGUAUCUAAAACAAGUAAAUAAAUGUUCUCAAUAGGUGCCAGGCAUUUUUGUUUUAGAGAGGUAUAUAGCUUUAGGUCUGCAAGAGACAAGGGCAAAGAAAUAGUUAAGUAUGCAUGGGACAAAUAAUAAGAUCAGCUGGGUGUGGGCACUCAGGAGGCUGAGACAGAAAGAUCUCCACAAAUUCAAGGCCAGUUUAGCAACACAGGGAGACCUUGGUGAUAAUGGAUUAUUUCCAAAGGAUGAAAAUUACUUCCAAAAGAUGAGAAGUAUAAAACAAAGAGCGGCCUUUAUUCUGAGAACAUGGAGAGAGAUGACCAGCACCCCCCACCGCUGGCGUCCGGCGAUCUCUCCAACGGACAUGUGGUGUGGGAGUAUCAUUUGGUGCUGUGACUCGGAUUGGCAGGCGAUUGACUCCUGGGACACACCCAGUUGAGUCGCCUAGCCGAUAACCAGAUAACAUCCUGGAUUAAUUCUGAGCUUUUUCCUGUCCUGAGAAGUCCUUGUUGCCAGCAGCCUGCACUCAGCAUCGGCCAGGUUGAUUUCAGGGUGAUUGGCAGCGACUCUGGAGCCGCUCUACAGAUGAUUGGUCACACACGCCCACCGGACCGAUGGCUGCCCAAUGGCCCUCUGCUCUGGAAUCUUCUCCUCAGGAUGUUUAUGGGAUUCCAAAUACCACUGUCAGCUCACAAGAGCGAAAUCAGCUGUGGCAGGCAGCUCGAAAAGAAACUGAUCACAGACAUAAGUGUAACAUAUGUGCAUUCACCAGUGAAGUUGUCCUGGCCAAAACACCUGGCACCAGCGUCCACCUGGGCAUCAACCUUCAUCCCUUCGACUCCCCUAGGCUCCAGUUCAGCGCCCUCUGCCAGCAGGAAUUAGAUAAAGAGAGAAAUCUUUGCCCCUUGUCAUAAUAGUAAUCAUAAAACAGGAUAUGAAAGGGUUUUGGCCCAGACAGGACACUGUAGCCAGGAAAGCCUCAACUGGAAGCAGGAAGCCCCUAUCUCCCCCGCCCCUAGUAAUUUACCUUUGACACCAUCUUCCCGCCCCUGGAAUUUACCUAUGGCACGAAACGUAGGACCAAUGGGCUACCUGUACAUCCCUAAUGCCCGCCUUAGGUUCCACCCCAAACCGAGACUAUUUACAUACCCCCAUGCCACAUGUCCGCCGGAGAGAUCGCUGGUCGCCAGUGGUGGGGGGUGCCAGUCAUCUCUGUCUGUGUUCUCAGAAUAAAGGCCGCUUUUUAAUUUA